UACGUAGGGAGCAAGCGUUGUUCGGAAUUACUGGGCGUAAAGGGCGCGUAGGCGGCGCGGUAAGUCACUUGUGAAAUCUCUGAGCUUAACUCAGAACGGCCAAGUGAUACUGCAGUGCUAGAGUGCAGAAAGGGCAAUCGGAAUUCUUGGUGUAGCGGUGAAAUGCGUAGAUAUCAAGAGGAACACCUGAGGCGAAGGCGGGUUGCUAGGCUGACACUGACGCUGAGUGCGCGAAAGCCAGGGGAGCAAACGGG
rnacentral:rRNA from 1 species